rnacentral:rRNA from 1 species
UACGUAGGGUCCGAGCGUUGUCCGGAAUUAUUGGGCGUAAAGAGCUCGUAGGCGGUUUGUCGCGUCUGCUGUGAAAUCCCGAGGCUCAACCUCGGGCCUGCAGUGGGUACGGGCAGACUGGAGUGCGGUAGGGGAGAAUGGAAUUCCUGGUGUAGCGGUGGAAUGCGCAGAUAUCGGGAAGAACAUCAGUGGCGAAGGCGGCCUGCUGGGCUGUUGCUGACGCUGAGGCGCGACAGCGUGGGGAGCAAACAGG